CAGCAGCCACCUCCUACCUCUUUGGGAC
rnacentral:piRNA from 1 species